rnacentral:rRNA from 1 species
GUGAGGAAUAUUGGACAAUGGGCGCAAGCCUGAUCCAGCCAUGCCGCGUGCAGGAAGACGCAUCUAUGGUGUGUAAACUCCUUUUGUACGGGAAGAAACACUCCCUCGUGAGGGAGCUUGACGGUACCGUAAGAAUAAGGAUCGGCUAACUCCGUGCCAGCAGCCGCGGUAAUACGGAGGAUCCAAGCGUUAUCCGGAAUCAUUGGGUUUAAAGGGUCCGUAGGCGGUUUAAUAAGUCAGUGGUGAAAGCCCAUCGCUCAACGAUGGAACGGCCAUUGAUACUGUUAGACUUGAAUUACAAGGAAGUAACUAGAAUAUGUAGUGUAGCGGUGAAAUGCUUAGAUAUUACAUGGAAUACCAAUUGCGAAGGCAGGUUACUACUUGUGGAUUGACGCUGAUGGACGAAAGCGUGGGGAGCGAACAGGAUUAGAUACCCUUGUAGUCC